UGGAGUCAGCUGCAUGCAUAACUGCACACAGGUAGCAGGACAUGUCCUCAGCCUCUCGUUUCAGCCAGGAGCCAGCCUGCAUUGUGGGAAGGCAUCCCAGCUUGGACAGUGAAUUUGGAGAACCACUACGAAGUUAAAAAUAGAUGGAAGAUUUUGGACUGGUAGCCACCUCUGAAGCAUUUCCUCCAUCAUACUGGUACAUAUGUACCACCUAACUGAGAACAUACUCAGUUCCAAAGCCAUGCUGAGGACCCAUGCUGAAUAUGUUCCUGAUUGCUGCAGCUUAUUAAACCUUGAGACACUGGAGGAGGAGGAGUCUGCGCAAUGGGAAAUUUCAGUCUUGAGGAAAACACAACUUUCUCAGAAUAAUUUGUGUGAAUAAUAAUUGGUUAGCAGUGGUAAUUCACCAAGGAGUUCAACAAUACCAAGAAAAUGUUUCUAACAUAAUUCAAGAAAGAAGAUGCAGAUAAGUUUUAUUUAAUUACAGUAAAAAUGUAUUAAGACUUGUCUGAAAAAUUUGUCUGUAUGCAUAAAAUAGUAUCCUUUUACAUACUGUGCUUAUAUCCAAUUAUUUAGGUAUCAUGUUCCUAUUCAUUAGGACUUUCACUACUUAAAAAAUACAUUAUCUCAGCUCUGUGAAAAUAAACUAACAAAUCUC